AGAGUUUGAUCAUGGCUCAGGACGAACGCUGGCGGCGUGGAUAAGGCAUGCAAGUCGAACGCGAACAGAACAACUAAUUCGUUAGUAGUUCUAAGUAGAGUGGCGAACGGGUGAGUAACACGUGGAUAACAUACCUUUCAGUGGGGAAUAACAUCGGGAAACUGAUGCUAAUACCGCAGAUGUCAUUUCAUUGAUUUUGAUUUGACUAAAGGGGGGGCUCCUUUUGGACCUCUCGCUGAUUGAUUGGUCCGCGGCCCAUUAGCUUGUUGGUGGGGUAAUGGCCUACCAAGGCUGCGAUGGGUAGCCGGCCUGAGAGGGUGUCCGGCCACACUGGGAUUGAGAUACGGCCCAGACUCCUUCGGGAGGCAGCAGUCGAGAAUCUUCCACAAUGUACGAAAGUAUGAUGGAGCGACGCCGCGUGUGUGAUGAAGGCUUUAUGAGUUGUAAAACACUGUCAGAGGGGAAGAACAAGCGUAUGAAUAAUAAGUGUACGCUCUGACGUACCCUCAGAGGAAGCUCCGGCUAACUCCGUGCCAGCAGCCGCGGUAAUACGGAGGGAGCAAGCGUUGUCCGGAAUCAUUGGGCGUAAAGGGCACGUAGGCGGUUUGGUAAGUCGAAUGUGAAAUCUCAUGGCUUAACUGUGAAACUGCGUUCGAAACUACCAAACUUGAGUACUGGAGAGGUAUGCGGAAUUCCUGGUGUAGCGGUGGAAUGCGUGGNUAUCANGAANAACNCCANUGGCNAA
rnacentral:rRNA from 1 species